rnacentral:lncRNA from 1 species
GUAUAUAUCUCCCAACAAAAUACCCUUGUAAAGAAUCACAGGCGGAAAAUGUAUCCGAUAUCCCAAGCAGGGCCUAAAGAUCACAAGAUCGGAAGCGAACAAGAUAUCAGGCUUGACCAUCAGAAACAAGAUCACAAGAGAACAUGAUAUCAGGCUUGGCCAUCAGAAACAAGAUCACAAGAGAACAUGCAGCAAAAUAUCAUCAAUCAAGAGACCAAAUGCAAUGAUCGAAGAAUCACUUGAGUGGCUGGCCUAGCCGUCUUACUUGGAUCUUGAUAACUCGCUCAUUGAUAUUAUAAAUAUAUAUCAAGAAAAACCAUGGACGUUUAUACAAAACUGUUUGUAUGUAAAGAGUAACAGAAUCUCAAAUAUGAUGAGGACCUGCUGUGAACCUGCUACGAAUAUGUAUGUACAUUUUUGUUGUCUGCUGUUGUUGUCGUCGCCACCAGAGCGGCUUAUUGUCCGAGUCUAGCACUCGUGUAAAAAAUAACUUCACGCACACACGCUAGAUGAUGACGAUGAUCUGCUGCUCUUGUUAAAUCCUGGGGUCAUCAUUAUUAGAUGAGUGAGAAGAAAUUGAAAAGCAAUAAUAAAAACAAAAGUUGGGUUUAUAUGUUGAGUGGAAGACCUCAUUCUUUCGAGUUUUUGAAGAGUGUAAGCUCAGCCAACGAUCUGCAAGAACAUACAAUGGUUCUUAGUGCCCUGCAAAAUCAGCUUUGACUUCAGAUAAAACUACAGUGUAUAUAUAAUCAUGAAAAUGCUGCUCGAACAGAGAAAUACCUUUAUAUGAUUUCCCUCCACUAUUCUUCAUCGAUCGAAGCAUUAGAAGUAGCAUCCACAAUUGUUCCCUCAAUAUCGGAUCUUACCCAAUGUUGAUCUUUCCUUUUCUUUUUAAACAUAUCUACGAGGUGAGAAACAUGGAAUGGCUCAGCGUCUACAUCUCGUGUGCAUUCAUCAUUUCCAGUGUCACAUCUAUCUCUAGGUAGCGUAUAAUGCAUCACCACUGACCAACCUGGGUUCAGUUCGCCUUCUAGGUAAAAGACUUGAUCGGCUUGGUUAGGCAAAAUAAAAGGCUCAUGUUCAAUCUUGUCUCCUUUGUGCAUCAAAUGUGAGAAGUUAAAAAGUGUGUAGCCAUACUUGUCCUUUUUAAUUCCUUUUAGAGAAACAUCAACCCGUUCACACUUAAAUAAAUCCACCGAAAAUUGUCCAGAAUAGUUCAACUUAAUAAUAUCUCAAUUAUCCUGCCAUAGUAAGUCACAUCACCUAAAACAGGGACCGGAUCACCUGGUGCAGCAUAUGUAGAUGUUUUGGCACGUACAUCUUUUCUAUUUACCUUUCAUUUGCGGGGGGACUACAUCUCGGGCUGCAGUGACUUGCCAAUUUAUAUUCCUAAUCCUUCUGAUGUUUGUGUAUGCAGACCUUUUAAUCUAUGUUGGAAAGGUCUGAUGAAAAUGGAAGUACACUGCAUUUGAAAAUAAAUCUUGGUAACGUUUAUGGUCGGCUGUUUACUCAAUAUGUUUUCUCAAACUCUGCUACUGUUAGUGAUAAACUGAUAACAAGUUCAUUAGUUCAUAUAGCAGUUCAUAAUUUGCAAUUUUGGAACAGAAUGACUUCAAAAGGUUUAUGAUCCCUAUUUAACCUACGGAUUAUACAUUAUCUAUCUAGCAUCAUAGGAAUAAUAUCUGGUGUCUCUUCGUGAUAGGUACAUUGGUGAUACAUUUUUAUUUUCAUAUUGUUUCCUUAGCAAUAUAGGAUUAAAUGCAUGUCCCUAUGUUCAGAUCCUGUUCUAUUGUCUAUCGACAAGGUGUUUGAUGAAAGCCGAAGUAGGCCAGAAAUCUUGCUUAAGUAUAUACAACCAUCACCUGACAAUGUUUACUUACUCCGCUGCAUAAAUGUAAGGAGCGUACUAAUUCAGAAACUUCUUCCUGAUGCUAAAUAUGCUGACACACCAUCAGGUGUCUGUCGUAUGCCAACAGUCUUAUUCCUGCUAAUAUAUGGUUACACUACCCUAUAUCACUUUCACUAUCAUGUAGAUUUGUGUUGCAUCUCCCUAGUUCUAUUUUCUAGUUCAUGUGAGUGAAUGAUGCAUUUUAACAACUCCGAUUUGAUUGUGCAUUGCUACUGUUCUAGGUGUUCUGGUACUCUCUUUGAACAUUUUGUUUCAUUGAUUAGUAUUCUGGAGGAUCAAGUUGGAAGGCUGAGGAUGGUUAGAUAAUCGCGGCGGCUAGAUUAGUACCUGCAGUUCUUAUACAGAGUGAAUAGCUUGAAAAGUUAGAAAUUGAUCCAUUUAAACAGGGAAUGGUAAGAAGUGUCCCAGUAUAUACGAAUUAUGAUUCCCAAAGAUGGUGGCAUUGAAGGUCAACAAUUUAUGCAUCAGAUUCCUCAGGGUCAACAAUUCAAAGUGUCAUAGUAUAUAUUCUAAUUCAUAGACUGUUGAUGUAGGCUGCGUCCUUUAUCUGAACCUUCUGCCUAAUGUCUGAACUACAAAGGAUGAUCUCAUGUUUGACUUUGCAAUUCUCAUCUCGGGACAAGUAAAAAGACAAUCUCAUCUUAGGAUUCAGUAAUGGAGGGGAGCAGCGCUACUUCGCCAUUAGGAGAGCCCAUAGUUGCAAUGGCCACAAGAUGUGCACCAGCACCAUCACGUGAGAAAUCCGUCUAAGAAAAUAUACGCCCUUAUCAACUAUCAUAUCCAUGCCAAACCAUAAGCACGGAACAAGUAAGGGCUAAUGUGAACAACCGAGAGAUUUCAUGGUUGAAACUACAAGGUCCUGUUGUGUUCUAUGAAUGUUCACAACCUGUAUUUAGUACUAUUGGUCCUUAUUUUAGCAGAUAAGGCCACACGGGACAGGCACGAGAGCAGAUAAGGGAGGAGGACGGAGAGCUGAGGACAGAAGGAGGAGGGAGGAAGCAUGUACCUUGCAGCGGACAGUCCGGCGACGAGGGCGAGCUAGGGGCAGCGACCAAUGGUGGCAGCGAUGGCGAGCUCGGGCGGCGACCAAGGGCGGCGGCGAUGGCUACCAGGCGUCGGCGUAGCUGGACGAGGAGGAGAGGAUCGAGGGGAGACGGAGAGGGCCUCGAAGGGGAUUGCGAAGGUGCCAGCGCCGGUGCUGGAGUCGAAGUGGAUCAGGGAAGCGGCGGUGCUGGUCGUGGAGAAGCAGAUCGUGGGAGGCGAGGUGUGGUAAGGAACACUUUACGGGGGGUCCUCGG